UAUAAUUCCUAGUCGAUACUGUUGCGGAGUUUCGCUUAAUUACGCGUCUACUCAUUUAAGUUAUUUUUCUUUAUUUUUUGUUCUUGUAAAUUUGCCGUUUAUCAUUUCUCCAGCUUAUGUUAUUCGCCGUUUGUUAUUGUAAAUCUGCUGUUUCUUAUUUCUCCAGUUUAUGUAUAUAACCACCGGUUUUGUAAAGCGGGAUGAAUUUCUCCACUUUUCUGGCUGCUUACGGUAAAUGCAAUUUGUAAAACCGUUCACUUAAAAUUGUAUAUAAACAGGACGAGAACAUACUUUAAGCAGUCGCCGGUCAGCCAGGAAGUGGAAGAACGCAUCGUGAAAUAAACGGAACCAAGCGGAAUUGUCUAUAGAUUGGAUCUUGUUGAAUUCGCGCCACUACAUCAGCGACAGGUACCUUUUGCUUUGCCAUCUUUGAUGUUUGUCAAGUAGAUGGAUCUACAAUUUUACAUGAUGGAACAACGCUUUAAAAUUAUUAAAACUUAUUAUGAAAAUUGUCGAUCUUGAACAAGAACAUAUCGCAAAAUUCGCAAUUUUUUUGGUGGAAGUAAUCGCCCGAAUGAGUAGUCAAAGGUUGGUGGAAGAAUUUCAAGAAACUGGUUCUGUUGAGGAUGGAAAAAGAACUGGUAGACCAGACUAGGGUUUUUUGAAAAGUAAAAUCUAUGCGAAUAAGUCAAUAACGAUUCUAUAGCUGAAACACAACAUUCGGAUCGAGAGUGCUCAACUCAAUGCGACAAUGUGUGAGUGAGUCCCUGACAAUUUUUAUUCUCGUAUGACAGCCUGUAGACGUGUUAAUGGGGGGCAUUUAAUGGAUGUCGUUUUUACAUAUAAUUGUUAAGAGCCUCAUUUUGAAUAAAAAUUGUGCAAUCUCAAAGGGACUGCAUUUUUUCAUAUUUUGUUUUAGAACGACAGCUUGGUGCGUCUUUUGAAAGGCCCUUUAUAUACAAAAAUAUAUUUUCUGAGCUCUCCAAGGUUUUGCUCAUAUUCACAUUUCAGUAGACUUUUUCCAGUUGAAUUAAUUAUAAAAACACAAUACGAUGACCCAGUUUUAAAUUGAAAGUUUUCUAAUCCCGGAUUUUCUUAUUCUGCGUGUGGUUAUAAAGUCCUAAUUUUCGCAACAAAAUCGAGAUCGGCUAACGGUGACUGGCGAGAAAAGCCAAUUUUAGUAUCGGUCACAUAUUUAUUGAUUGGCCAAUCGGUAAGAGACCCUGCCAACCUGGAUUUUUCUUACGGGUCCGUUUAAAACGUUUUAAAAUUCAGAUAGAAAUUAUUUUGUCCUUUUAAAAAGGCCAAAAAUUUUAGUAUUCAUAGAUUAUUUUAAUACUCAUGGAACAUUUUACUUCAGAGUUUUCGGUUCGCGAUGAUAAAAGAAGCCACAGCGCAUAACGAGAAUAGUAUGAAAAUCAGUUUAAUUUAUUGUAAGUAAAAGGACCGUAAUAUUACAAAUAAUAGGAAACAAAGAGUCGGACGUCAUGGAAUCUUUUGUGUACUGUGAUGAUUUGAAAGAUUUAAUUGAUUUCAUUAAAUCAAAACUUUAAGUUUCUGAGGUACGAAUAGAGUCGUCCGAAAUAUGA